rnacentral:rRNA from 1 species
AGAGUUUGAUCCUGGCUCAGGAUGAACGCUAGCUACAGGCUUAACACAUGCAAGUCGAGGGGAAACGAUAUUGGAGGCUUGCUUCCGAUAGGCGUCGACCGGCGCACGGGUGAGUAACGCGUAUCCAACCUGCCCACCACUUGGGGAUAACCUUGCGAAAGUAAGACUAAUACCCAAUGAUAUCUCUAGAAGACAUCUGAAAGAGAUUAAAGAUUUAUCGGUGAUGGAUGGGGAUGCGUCUGAUUAGCUUGUUGGCGGGGUAACGGCCACCAAGGCGACGAUCAGUAGGGGUUCUGAGAGGAAGGUCCCCCANAUUGGAACUGAGACACGGUCCAAACUCCGUACGGGAGGCA